rnacentral:ncRNA from 2 species
GCCAGGGGAGACGCUGAACCGCUGCCUGUAUCUGGUCACUUGGGCAGCGGGGAGUCAAUAGUGAAACCGACCUUCAAAGGU